rnacentral:rRNA from 1 species
GAUGAACGCUGGCGGCGUGCUUAACACAUGCAAGUCGAACGGAAAGGCUCCUGCUUGCAGGGGUACUCGAGUGGCGAACGGGUGAGUAACACGUGGGUGAUCUGCCCUGCACUUCGGGAUAAGCCUGGGAAACUGGGUCUAAUACCGGAUAGGACCAUCGUUUAGUGUCGGUGGUGGAAAGUUUUUUCGGUGUGGGAUGAGCUCGCGGCCUAUCAGCUUGUUGGUGGGGUAAUGGCCUACCAAGGCGUCGAUGGGUAGCCGGCCUGAGAGGGUGUACGGCCACAUUGGGACUGAGAUACGGCCCAGACUCCUACGGGAGGCAGCAGUGGGGAAUAUUGCACAAUGGGCGCAAGCCUGAUGCAGCGACGCCGCGUGGGGGAUGACGGCCUUCGGGUUGUAAACUCCUUUCGCCAGGGACGAAGCGAAAGUGACGGUACCUGGAUAAGAAGCACCGGCUAACUACGUG